UUUUUUUUUUUUUUUUUCCCUAGGGCCACUGCCUGCAGCAUAUGGAGGUUCCCAGGCUAGGGGUCAAAUCGGAGCUGUAGCCACCAGCCUACGCCACAGCCACAGCCACUCCAGAUCUGAGCUGUGUCUGCGACUUACACCACAGCUCAUGGCAACGCCAGAUCCUUAACCUACUGAGCAAAGCCAGGGAUCGAACCCGCAACCUUAUGGUUCCUAGUCAGAUUCGUUAACCACUGCACCACAAAGGGAACUCCUAAAAUCUUUGAUGAUAGUUUCCUUCAGCCUGGUGAUUCAGGGGUAAUGGAUCUUAUGUAGGAUUAUGGGAAAAUGUGGUUCUGUCCUUGAUGUUCAGAAAUGAUAGGGAUGGUAAGGACAACAAUAGUUAACAUUUAUGUGGCUUAAUAGGUGAGGCAUUAUACAUAGUCUCAUUUAAUCUAUACAACAACCCUUUAAUGUGGGUACUAUUAUUAUCCCCAUUUAAUAGAUGAGAAAACUGAAGCCCAGAGUAUAAGAAAUUUGACCCAAGGUACAUAGCCAGUAAGAGGAAUUCAGGAUUCAAACCAAGAGAGUGUAACCCUAGCUGAAGGGUUUGUUCUCAACCACAAGUCCAUGGAGUGCUAAUAAGAACUAGAUAACCAACAAAUUUUAAACUUGGAAAUGGACAAAAGGUUCAAAGAAAAUGUAUAGAAAUGUCACCGUGUUUAAUCAUGAUUGUAACUACACAAUGUUAAAAUAGCUGAUCAUUUUGAGAGAUCACUUACAUAAUUUUUUUUUGACUGCUUAAAUUCCUAGCUUCUUCCAGCAUUACAUUUACACUGUCUUUAAAAGUGCAUAAAAAUGGGCUUGCACGAAUCUACAUUUUUAAAUUUUUUUAUAUUUUGAAUUUUGAACUAUACUAUUACUCUUAUGAUGAAACUUUAAUAACAUCAUGUCCAUGAGGGUAAAAAAUUGGUACAAUUUAGUCAAUCGACAUUUUGAAAAGAAAAAAGGAAAAAAGGAAGGGUAGGUCUGGGGCUAAAACAAAUAGCCAAACUAAUUGUCACUUUCCAAGCCAGCUGGUUCAUUAUAUACAACUGAAACUUUCUUCUUGCCUCAAAAACAGUCCCGAGCUAUCCUGCACAAAACUGUGUGACCCAGUUUGCUUCUCCCUCCUUCCUAAUAAUCCCUUUCUUUUAACCCUCCUUGCAUUUGAAGCAUGGAUCUUUCUUCUGUGCUUUGUUCUAUUUUGGGAACAUCCAACUCUCAUCUGAAUCUUCUCAAAUCCUCUUCCUCCUCUUCUAAAGUUCGGCUUUAGAGAUGAUAAAACUAAAGGUGCCCCAAGUCUCACGAAAAUUAGAUAUAGUGAGGAGGAUGUGAAAGAAAAACCUGGGGAAAAAUUAAAACAGCAACCUUCUCUCUCACCUCCAGGUAGCCUUAAUGAGUCACAAAGGAAAUUCUCUGUCUGGAGGUUAUAAUUGUGUGAUUCUAAGUCUGUGGAUUAAGACAGUAUACUGAAGACACUCCACCCUGGGGUAUCUACCUAGCUCUUUUUUCCUCACAGAAAUUUUCUUUUUGAAGAGGUUGCUUCAUGAAUUAUAUACUCAGAAGGACAGGAAAACUAUUAAAAGUAGGUAACUUAAUAAAUAGACAAGUUCAGUCUAUACAACUUCAACCCAGCACUGGAGGCAGCAGGAAAGACUUGAGGGGGUUCUGAUAAUUGUCACAUUUCUGAUUCCACCCUGCUUUGACUUGGUGUGACAUUUCCUUCAUUAACUCAUUCCUAUGAAUUAAUUAUAUAGUGCAGAAAGGCAUUUGUGUCUAUCAAAAUUUACAAAAUUCACAAAAUCUUUGGUCAAGCAAUUCUACUUCUGGGAAUUUAGAAGUAAUUCUACAAGUGUGAAAGUUUGUGAAUGUAGAUGGCCAGGGCAGAGUUUUUAUGCUAGAGAAGAAAAAUUAGAAGCAAUUGAAUUAUCCAUAACCUUUGGUAAAAUAAACCGCAACUUUGUAGAACAUAAUAUUGCACAAUUGUUAAAAUUGUGACAUCAUGGUAUACUAACUAGCAAAGAAAAAUUUUCAUGACACAGUGCUAAGAGAAAAAACAGGUUAUGUAACUAUAGUGUAAAUCCAUUAAAAAGUAUGGGUUAAAUAUUUGACAUGUCUUUAUAUACACUAUAUACACAUUUUUGUGCAAUUUAAGUGUCCUAGGAUUUUAAAAUUUGAAAGAUGGGAGAUUAAGAUGGAGUAAAUGGAACUCAUACCCCUGUCCCCCACCAAUGAGUAAUUCUGAGAACUGGAAACUAGCAGAAUGACUCCUGUACAACCAAGGCUGUAAGAAAGACACAUGUAUAAUCAGGUAGGAAGGGAAGAAAGUGAUUGGUUCAGGACCUGGGCCCCUAGAAGGGACUCAGAGGAGAAAGAAGAUUAUAAGAGUGGAACUUGGGAGUGAGCAGAUCAAGCCAUAGAUGGGCAUCCCAGUUCUGGGAUCCUACAUGGAGUAGAUGAUAAGCCUCCAUGCCUGGCUGGAGGAACAUUGGGUCAGAUGGAAAGGCUGGAGAAGCCUGGACACUGCUCAUGUGGAGUGUGCAUGUGCUAACUCCUGAGGCAGGGUAGAGAAUCUGCCUGAGUGGCUGCCAGGUUGCCAGUGACAGCUUUGUUUCACUUCCCAGCCUGACCUUAGAGAAUGAUCUGGCCCCACUUACUCCCUACCACACUGCAGUAUUGGUUCUGGGGCAACCAGGACCACAGAAAAGAAGAGACCAUGAGAGACAGAGGUGACCCAUCCCAGGGAGGAGCCCAGGUGGUCAGCGGCAGCCACUGUUGGCACUUACUCAGGCAACAUAAUAGGAGCCCCCCACAUCACUGAUAGCAGGCCCUCUACCACAGCUAAUAUGCUAGUACAUGCUGAGAGUCCACACAGGUCCCUGUCAGACAUGCAGGAGUAGUUCUACAACAGGGCAGUGGUGGUAGAGGCAGGGAGAAUGAUUGGCUGUGAGAGACAAAGGGGGCUCACACCCAAGGCUGCAUAUGAAUGGAGUAGCAGACACCUAUACUCUCUGCAUCAGAUCUCUGUCUAUAUAUAGGUCCCACAAGCUUCAGCACACCCCUCUGGAAUGUAAAUCCCUGUGUAGGGAGAGGGAAAAACAUGCUUAGAACAGAGUCAGCUUGAACCCAACCCUUGGGGCGUCUGCUCCCACAACUUAGACCUUUACCCUGAAAAGGCAGUGAUGGCUACUGAGCAGUGAGGAAGUCUCUUCACACCUGGCAUCAGCUCUAUCCCCUCCAUCUCCAGCCCUACCCCCUAACAAGGUGAUAGCUGCCAGCACACCCUGAGGAAAGACGUGACUGGUAUCAAUGUCAAAUCCACCUCUCUCACGCAAGGCACUGGACACAUGCAGAGUGUGUAGGGGACGCUGCCACAUAAGAACACUUCUUCAGUACCAUAAUGAGUAACUGUUUCAUCUAAAUUCAUAGGAGCAGAGGAACUACUCAAACUUGAGAAAGAGCAAGAGAAAACCCCUGAAAAAAUAAUGACACAGAAAUAAUCUAUUAGAUAAAGAAUUCAAAACAUUGGAAAUAAAAAUGUUAAUUAAGGGAAAUAAUUGAUCAAAACAUUAAAAAUUUUAGCAAGGAACUAUAAAAUAUGAAAAAGACCCAAUGAGAAAUGAGUAAUUUGAUAGGAGAAAUAAAAAACACACUAGAAGGCAUGAAUAGCAGACUAAGUGAUACAGAAGAACACAUAAGUGAUUUGGAAGAUGGAGUAAUGGAAAUCACACAAUGGGGACAGGAGAAGGAAAAACAAAUUUUAAAAAUAAAAGCAAUUUGAGGUAUCUGGCAUAAUAUGAAACAUUUCAACAUUCACAUUAUCGGAGUUCCAGAAGGAGAAGAGAGAAGCAGACUGAAAAUGUAUUUGAGGAAAUUAUGACUAAAAACCUCCAAAACCUGAAGAUGGAAACAGAUAUAGGCAUGGGAAGCACCGAGGGCCUCAAGUAGGAUGAACCCAAACAGACCCACACCAAGACAUGACAUAUAAUUAAAAUGGCAAAAGUUUAAAGAGAGAUUUCUAAAGGCACCAAGAGAAGAACAGAGUCAUAUACAUAGAAGGGAUUCCCCAUAAGGGUGUCAGCUGACUUUUCUGCACAAAUACUGCAGGCCAGAAAAGUGGCAUGAUAUAUUCAAAGUGCUGAAAGGAAAAAACUAAUCUAGGAUGCUCUAUCCAGCAAGAUUAUCAUUUAGAAUAUGAGAGAUAAAGAACUUCUCAGAAAAGCAAAAACUAAGAGUUCAUCGAUAGUAACCUUACCCUAAAAGAAGUGCUGAAGGAUAUUCUUUAAAUUGAAUAGAAGUACAAAUCUACAGGAAAGGGAAAAAUACCACUAGGAAAGGCAAAUAUAUAGUAAGGGCUGAGAAUCAACCACAAAUAAACUAGAACCUAGAUUAAAAGACAAAAACAUUUGUAAAAGCAAUGAUAAAAAGACAGUUAAAGGAUAAGCAUGAAGAUUUAAAAGAUGCAUCAAAAAUGUAAAAAAUGUAGAUCUCUUAGAAUGCAUUUGAACUUAAAUGACUAUAUAGAUAUAAUUAUAGGUCAACACAUAUGAAUCUCUUGGUAACCACAAAUCAAGAACCUACAACAGAUCAGAGGAGGCAAGACGGCAGAAGAGUAGGGGGAUACCCUCGCCCUCUCCCACAAACACAAGAAAAAACACAUCUACAUGUUAAAUGACUUGCACAGAACAGCAACUAAAUGCUGGCAGAACUUAAACUUCCAAUAAUGGUAAGAAUCUCAUGACAUAACUGGGUAAAACAGAGAAAAAAGGAGAGUGAGAGAAGGGGAAUCGGGACCAGAGUGGCGCUCCCAAAAGGGAACUGUGGCAGAGAAAGGGAACCCAUGCCCUGGAAAGUCACCUAAUCAACAGAAAGAUCAACUGAGUUGGAGGGAUCUCCAGACACUGAGAAGAGCGUAGCAGUAGGUCUGAGAUCUGAAAAGCAGAGUGAGGGCCGAACAGAUCAUCUGAACUACUGGCACAGUCAUCAAAAACUGAGACAUUCAGGUGGAGGCUGGGCACCGAGACCUCGGCUCUGGAGGUUAGUCCCCAGGAGUGGGCUGGGGUUGGUGGUGUGGAGACAGCCUGGGGGACUAGGAGGAAGUGGUGCAUUGUGGGUGAAGGGAGCAAUUCGGUAAGGGCUGGGGAGUAGAAAGCCACAACAGAGGGAGCCACAGGAGAGACAAGGAGCCAGUGUUGGGGAGGAGGAGGGGCAGGCCACCAUAGAAUACUCCUUGUGCCCUAGCACGCAUGCUUGCCUGCCAGCUAGCAGAGAGCAGUGCUAUCCAGUGCACCCCCCCCCUUGCCUAUGCCACCCGUGCCUGACCUGAGGCCACCUGCCAUCCCAGAGGGCUGGCCUCACCACUUGCAGGAAGCUGACCACCUCAGGGGCUUUUCCUGCCCUGGCCUUCCCACUCUCUGGAGGGGCUACACUCCCAUGGAGCAGCGCCCAGCACCGCCCACCCCCUGGAAGAGCUCUGCAGCCCAGAAACACCAGAGUGAGCUCUUUCCAGCCAUGGGAAGUCGGUCUCCAUUGCAGGGCAGUCCUGCCAGUUCUGGUUGCCCUGGGGAAGCGCUCCCUUGUUUCUCAGCAGCCUGGCUAGCUGCUCCCACCCUUGGGAGGCACUGCACUCCUGCAGAGCAGCUGCCCAGAAUCGCCCACCCCAGAAGAGCUCCACAGCCCAGAAAUGCCAGAGCAAGCUCUUCCUGGCCAUGGGAAGUCUGCCUCGAUUGCAGUGCAGACCUGCCAGUCCUGCCUGCCUGGGGGAAGUCCUCCUUUGCUUCAGAGAGACCCUGUCAGCCCCGUCCAUCCUCUGAAAAUGCCCUGCUGCCUCAAAGAAGACCGGCCAACACCACCAUCCCUUAGGAAACACUCCACAGCAGUGCUAGGGCAAACCCUGCCCAGCCAUGGAGAGUGCACCUCCACCAAGAAAAAGAAAACAACAAGCAAGAUGAAGAAGCUCAGAAACCAUUCUCAGUUAAACCAACAGGAGAACUCACCUAAAGCAGUCAACAAUGAAACAGACCUCUGCAGUCUGACAGACUUGGAGUUCAAAAGAGAAAUAGUGAAAAUACUGAAGGAAUUAAGAGAAGAUAUGAACAAUAAUGCAAACACCCUCAGAAAGGAACUAGAAAAUAUGAGGAGCCAAGAACAACUAGAAAAUUCAUUUGCAGAGAUACAAACUGAGCUAAGGGCAGUAAAAACCAGAAUGAAUAAUGUAGAAGAAUGAAUUAGUGAUGUGGAAGAGAGAAUAAUGGAAUUCACCCAAACAGGACAGAAAACCCAAUGAAAAAAACAUGAAAGCAAUAUAAGAGAAUUAUGGGAUAAUAUAAAGCAGGCCAAUCUACACAUAACAGGAAUUCCAGAAGGAGAAGAAAAAGAUAAGGGAAUGGAAAAUAUAUCUGAAGAAAUUAUCACUGGAAACUCCCCAAAUCUGAAGGAUACUGAUAUCAAGAUACAGGAAGCACAGAGGGCCCCAAACAAGUUGGACCCAAAUAGACCCACACCAAGACACAUUAUAAUAAAAAUGGCAAACGUUAAUGAUAAAGAGAGGAUCUUAAAGGCAGCAAGAGAAAAACAAAAUGUUACCUAGAAGGGAACCCCCAUAAGGCUAUCAGCUGAUUUCUCUACAGAAGCUCUACAGGCCAGGCGGGAAUGGCAAGAGAUAAAGUGCUAAAAGGAAAAAAUAUGCAACCUAGAAUACUCUAUCCAGCAAGAAUAUCAUUUAAAAUAGAAGGGGAAAAAAUUUUUUUUCCAACAAACAAAAGCUAAAAGAAUACCACGAUACAAAACCCAGGCUAAAAGAAAUACUAAAAGGGCUUCUCUAAACCAAAAAGAAAGGAAAGAAAAAAAGAAAAAGAAGAAGAACUAGGAUUGAGGAAACCAUAAUCAGAGAGCAGUCACUCAAAUAAGCCAGCACACAGAUCUAAUUAUGAAGAUGUUUAAAACAAAAUAAAAUUAAAAAGAAAAAAAGAGACAUCAAAAUCAUAAAUUGUGGGCAAGGGAAGUAGGGAAAUAAAUAGAUUCUUUUUUUAAUUUUCUAAUUUUCUUUUUUUUAAUUUUAGUAUGGUAAUGGAGUGUUUGAACCUACAGGACUAUCAGGUUAAAAUACACAAUUAUAGGAAUGGGUUAACAUACUUAAAAAACAGGGCAACCGCAAAUCAAAACCAAACGUUACAUUCACAAAAAAUGAAAAGAAAAACACUCAAGCAGAAAAUAAUUGAGACCAUCUAACCAAAAAAAGAAAGAAAGGAUGGAGAAUCAUAGAAUCAACUGGAAAAUGAGGUUUAAAAUGGCAAUAAAUAAUCAUCUAUCAAUUACCACCUUAAAUGUCAAUGGAAUGAAUGCUACAAUCAAAAGACACAGAGUGGCUGAUUGGAUAAACAAGCAAAAACCUUCAAUCUGCUGCCUAUGAAAAACUCACCUUAGGACAAAGGACACAUAUAGAUUGAAAGUGAGGGGGUGGGAAAAAAUAUUUCAUGCCAAAGGACAUGACAGGAAACAGGAGUUGCAAUACUCAUAUCAGACAAAAUAGACUUUAAAACAAAAGUCAUAAAGAAAGACAAAGAAGGACACUAUUUAAUGAUUUAAGGAUCCAUUCAAGAAGAGGAUAUUACUAUCAUCAACAUAUAUUCCCCAAAUAUAGGAGCACCCAGAUACAUACAACAAAUACUAACAGACAUAAAGGGAGAAAUUAAUGGGAAUACAAUCAGAGUAGGAGACUUUAAUACCCCACUCACAUCAAUGGACAGAUCCUCUAGACAGAAAACCAAUAAAGCAACAGAGAUCCUAAAGAAAACAAUAGAAAAUCUGGAUUUACUUGACAUCUUCGGGACACUAUAUCCAAAAAAAAUCAGAAUACACAUUCUUCUCAAGUGCACAUGGAACAGUCUCAAAAAUUGAUCACAUAUUGGGGCACAAAGCUAACCUCAACAAAUUUAGGAGCAUAGAAAUUACUUCAAGUAUCUUCUCUGACCACAAUGGCAUGAAACUAGAAAUCAACCACAGGAAAAGAAGUGAGAAAAAACGUACUACAUGGAGACUAAACAACAUGCUACUAAAAAACCAAUGGGUCAAUGAAGAAAUCAAGAAGGAAUUACAAAAUACCUCAAGACAAAUGAUAAUGAAGGCACAACUGCUCAAAAUUUAUGGGACACCUCAAAAGCAGUGUUUAGAGGGAAAUUCAUAGCAAUGCAGGCCUUCCUCAAAAGAGAAGAAAGAUCUCAAAUUGACAACUUAACCCACCACUUAAAUGAAUUAGAAAAAGAAGAACAAAAAAGACCUAAAGUCAGCAGAAGGAAGGAAAUCAUAAAGAUCAAAGAUGAAAUCGAUAAAAUAGAGAUUUAAAAAACAAUAGAGAAAAUUAAUAAAUCCAAGAGCUGGUUCUUUGAAAAGGUAAACAAAAUUGACAAACCCUUCACUAGACUCACUAAGAAGAGGAGAGAAAUAAACAAAGAAACCCAAAUAAACAAAAUUAGAAAUGAAAAAGAAGAAAUCACAACGGAUUCUGCAGAAAGACAAAAUACCAUAAGAGAAUACUACGAACAACUAUAUGCCAACAAAUUUGACAAUCUGGAAGAAAUGGACAACUUUCUAU
rnacentral:lncRNA from 1 species